rnacentral:rRNA from 1 species
GGCGCGGCAACGCGCCCGCCGGCGACCGGCGCACGGGUGAGUAACACGUAUGGAACCUGCCCGCCACAGGGGGAUAACCGCGGGAAACCGCGACUAAUACCGCGUAAUCCACGGGGGCGCAUGCCCUCGUGGUAAAAGCCCGCGAGGGCGGUGGCGGAUGGCCAUGCGGCGCAUUAGCUAGUUGGCGGGGCAACGGCCCACCAAGGCGACGAUGCGUAGGGGUUCUGAGAGGAAGGCCCCCCACAUUGGCACUGAGACACGGGCCAGACUCCUACGGGAGGCAGCAGUGAGGGAUAUUGGUCAAUGGGCGGAAGCCUGAACCAGCCAAGUCGCGUGAGGGAAGGAGGCCGUCAAGGUUGUAAACCUCUUUUGCCGGGGGACAACGGGCGCCGCGUGCCGGCGCCGUGAGGGUACCCGGAGAAAAAGCAUCGGCUAACUCCGUGCCAGCAGCCGCGGUAAUACGGAGGAUGCGAGCGUUAUCCGGACUUAUUGGGUUUAAAGGGUGCGCAGGCGGCCCUUCAAGCCGGCGGUAAAAUGUCGGGGCUCAACCCCGGCCGGCCGUCGGGACUGCGGGGCUGGAGACGGCGGGAGGCACGCGGAAUGCGCGGUGUAGCGGUGAAAUGCAUAGAUAUCGCGCAGAACCCCGAUUGCGAAGGCAGCGUGCCGUCGCCGAUCUGACGCUGAGGCACGAAAGCGUGGGGAUCGAACAGGAUUAGAUACCCUGGUAGUCCACGCAGUAAACGAUGAACACUACCCGUCCGCGGCGAAUGGGCCGUGGGUGGGACAGCGAAAGCGUUAAGUGUUCCACCUGGGGAGUACGCCGGCAACGGUGAAACUCAAAGGAAUUGACGGGGGCCCGCACAAGCGGAGGAACAUGUGGUUUAAUUCGAUGAUACGCGAGGAACCUUACCCGGGCUCGAACGCCGGACCGCAGCCGCCGAAAGGCGGCGUCCCGCGAGGGGGUCCGGCGAGGUGCUGCAUGGUUGUCGUCAGCUCGUGCCGUGAGGUGUCGGCUCAAGUGCCAUAACGAGCGCAACCCCCGCCCACAGUUGCCAACGGGUAAAGCCGGGGACUCUGUGGGGACUGCCGGCGCAAGCUGCGAGGAAGGCGGGGACGACGUCAAAUCAGCACGGCCCUUACGUCCGGGGCGACACACGUGUUACAAUGGCGGGUACAAAGGGAAGCUAAGCGGCGACGCGGCGCGGACCCCAAAAACCCGUCUCAGUUCGGAUUGGAGUCUGCAACCCGACUCCAUGAA